GCGUCGGUAGCGCAAUGGUUAGCAUACGCCUCCGGAAAGGGCGAAAUGAGGGUUCGAACCCCGUUUGUCAUU